CAGCCGCCGCGGUAAUACGAAGGGUGCAAGCGUUACUCGGAAUUACUGGGCGUAAAGCGUGCGUAGGUGGUGGUUUAAGUCCGUUGUGAAAGCCCUGGGCUCAACCUGGGAAUUGCAGUGGAUACUGGGUCACUAGAGUGUGGUAGAGGAUAGUGGAAUUUCCGGUGUAGCAGUGAAAUGCGUAGAGAUCGGAAGGAACAUCUGUGGCGAAGGCGACUAUCUGGGCCAACACUGACACUGAGGCACGAAAGCGUGGGGAGCAAACAGGAUUAGAUACCCGCGUAGUCUCUGUCUCUUAUAC
rnacentral:rRNA from 1 species